rnacentral:rRNA from 1 species
AACGUAGGAGACAAACGUUAUCCGGAGUUACUGGGCGUAAAGGGCGUGUGGGUGGUUUCGUAAGUCUGGCGUGAAAUUUCUCGGCUUAACCGAGGCAGGUCGUCGGAUACUGCGGAACUUGAGGACGGUAGAGGCGUGUGGAAUUCCGGGUGUAGUGGUGAAAUGCGUAGAGAUCCGGAGGAACACCAGUGGCGAAGGCGACUUACUGGACACAUAUUGACGCUGAGGUGCGAAAGCGUGGGGAGCAAACAGG